rnacentral:lncRNA from 1 species
UUUUUAUUCUCUACUUUAACCCAAUUCUCAGCCUAUUAAAUCUUAGCCGUUGAUAAAAAGUGAUCCAACGACUGAAAUCAAAACCCUUUUUCUUUCCUUUUAAAAUUUAAUACCACCAAACCGUAAUUCAAUUUCAAUCUUCCAUCCGCCUCCCCCAUCUCUCUCUCUACCUUUUCUCUCACUCUCUUUCUUGCUCGAAAAAGGAAGCAGCCAUGGCUGUCGCCGUAAAGCCAGAGAACUACCACCUUCAAUCUGCCUCCCCCCUCCGAUCAACGAUGACAACACCCGUCGAAGAAGACAGCCGGUGCCGCCAUCGAAGCAGAACCCUUGGCUGCCGCCACUGCUCUUUCUCCUUCUUCUCUCCAUUGCUGUGUCGCCAUCAGCCGGUAAAGAUCCGCCAAGCAGCCACGUCGCUAUCACCGGUGAGAAUCUGACCAGCAACGACCCUCCGCCGCCGUUCCAACUUCGACCCCCAAAGCCACCGUCACCCCCGCCAAAAAACACAUAUUUUAUGAAGGAUUCUUAAGAAUCCGUCCGUGGUUUUGUAUCUCAUUUUUAUUGCAUGUUAUUAUCUUCCAUCCUUUCUUUUCCUUUUUGUUCUUUAAGUUUGAAAUCUUGAACUGAUUCUAGUAAUUUCUUAAACCCAUAUGCGUGAAAGCCUUUGGUGAACUGUUUUAAUCCCAAUUUUGGCUAGACUUGUAGUCAAUUCCUCCUCCUAGGUUCACUACCCUAUUUACUUGAUUGAUUACAGUUGAAAAAUGUUGUCUCCGCGAAUGACUCUUUUUAAUCUUAACUAUAACACGAUUUACACGUCUGCUUGAUCUGGUUUUAGAAUUGACUUUGAUAUGAUUUUAAGGCCACUUUCCACACCCUGUAAUUAUGGUAAGAUUUACAUGUCCCAUUGGUAAUUUUUGUGACUGAUUUCCUUUACAUUUUUGGUAUAAAUUAUAUACUUAAUUUGAAUGAACCUGAUAUGACGGGAUUGAUAUCUUCUUUUAUGGUAAAUAUCGACGUUGAUACAUGUUUUUGUUAUUUAUUCUCUUAAAAUCAGUACCUUUUCCCCCCCCAUUUAUUUAUGGUAACUGUAAUAAUUUAUUGAGUCAAUUUGUUGAUUUUCUUUCUUAAAUAUAUAUUGAAUAUCAUCUUUCUUAAUUAUAUGUUUACCAUAUUUUAACUCCCUUUAUUAUGGUAAAUAUAUCACGAAAUUGAUUUCCCCUCCUUCUUGUUUUACUUUGAUUGAUUUUGUAUUAUAUCAAUUCUAUUAUUUAUGAGGAAAGACUUCAGUAAUUGAGGGAGGGGGCGAUUUCUUUUCCUUUUUUAUCUUGGUUGACUGUUUCUUUUCAACAUUAUAUAAACUUGUCUCUUCAUUCAUAAAGGGAAACUUUUUAUUUAUCUCUCGAUUACAAUUAGUGUUCAUAAAAAGCUUCAAUUAUAAAGUAUCUUACUUUCUCAAAAUUGGGGUGGUGCUUUUUAGAAUUCAAAGGACACCAGAGUUAUUCGUCCCUCUCACUAUUUCUAUUCAAGAUAUUAUUAUUACUAUUACUUUGCGGUUUCACUGGUAAGUCUCUCAUCAAUGUAGUUACAUACUAGAAAGCAUGCCUAUAGGAUUAGUUUGAAAUAAUCACUUGUUGCUUACUUGCUAUGUUGUGUUCGCUUGUUGCAACAUAUCUGUCCAUGUAUGUGUUUGUCCCGUGCAUUGCUUUCUGUUAUAUUCAACAAAUGUAAUUAGGAGGGGGUUCCGAAGAGUCGCCGGGAUGAUGAAAUUGACUAUGUUAGUCUUCAUAGCUAGUUAUUUUUCUUUCUUCUUAUUUUUCGUAUUACUUGGUUUGUAAUAUUGUAAAGACAAUGUUAUUAUUGUAAUAAUAAAAUUUGGGGGACUGCUUUUGACUGUUUCUUUUCAACAUUAUAUAAACCCAUCUCUUCGUUCAUAAAUGGACACUUUUUUUUUAUCUCUCGACUACGAUUACAAUUCAUAAAAAGCUUCAAUUAUAAAGUAUCUUACUUUCUCAAAAUUGGGGUGGUGCAUUUCGAAAUUCAAAGGACACCAGAGUUAUUCGUCCCUCUCACUGUUUCUAUUAAAGAUAUUGUUAUUACUAUUACUUUGCGGUUUCACUGGUAAGUUUCUCAUCAAUGUAGUUACAUACUAGAAAGCAUGCCUAUAGGAUCAGUUUGAAAUAAUCACUUGCUGCUUACUUGCUGUGCUGUGUUCGGCUGUUGCAACAUAUCUGUCCAUGUAUGUGUUUGUCCCGUGCAUUGCUUUCUAUUAUAUUCAACAGGUGUUAUUAGGAGGGGGGUUCCGAACAAUCACCGGGAUGAUGAAAUUGACUAUGUUAGUCUUCACAGCUAGUUGUUUUUCUUUCUUCUUAUUCUUCGUAACAUUUGGUUUGUAAUAUUUGUAAAGACAUUGUUAUUAUUGUAAUAAUAAAAUUUGGGGGACUUCUUCGGGGGGUGGGGAUUUAUGUUCUCUAUGAACGAUUUAGAUAGGCACAACUUAGAUUUAUGUGCAAUACGUGUUACGUGGAUCAUAUAGGCACACAAAAUUAGGAUUUAUUAACAUAUGCGACGAUUAAUCUAUUUAUUAACUAAGUUGAUUAAGUCCCUACAUAUUAAUUUAUCUAUUAGCAUGUUAAAUAUAAGUAUAAGCCUAUUAAUACAGUUUUCACAUGUUAAAGCAUUUAAUAUAUUCUUCGUAUGUUAGUAUAUUAAUUGACAUUGAGCAUAUUAAUGAGAUAUUAAGCAUAUUAAUGUAAUUUUAUCACGUUGAAUUGAUUUUUAGCAUAUUUCUAGUAUGUUAGCUUGAAUUAAGCAUGUCAAUAUUUUCAAGUCUGUUAACCCAAUUCCUGCGCAUUAAUACAUGCAUUAAAAAUAAUUUCAGCAUCACUAGAACCCGUUCCGGCACAUUCAAAUGAUGUUCAGCAUAUUUAAUAAUGUUUUCAGCACGUUUAAUUAAAAUUCCAGCAUGUUUAAACCAAUUUUUCAGCGUAGUUAAUUAAAAUUUUAGCAUGUUUGAAUUAAUUUUCCGUCACGUUCAAUCACAUUCUAGCAUGUUAAAAUGGCAUUUCUGGAUAAAAUAAUUAAUUUUCAAUAGUUUAAAACACUAAUUCUCUAUAUUUUCAGCAUGUUAAUAUCAUUAAAACAUUAAAUUUCUGCACAUUUCAGCAUUAUUAAAGCAUGUUUCUGCACAUUAAAAUAAUUUCAGCAUUACUAGAACUUGUUUCUGCACAAUUUCAGCAUAUUAAACUACUUUCGGCAUGUUAGUAUUAAAAUUUAAACCUGUUGUACUAUUAACAUAUUUUUAGCAUGUUAAACAUUAAGUGUUAGGCAUCUUAGCAUGUCAUGACAUUAUAUUCCUUGACACAUUUACCACACUUUUGACACCCUCUUUUAAUACUUAACAACACAUUGUUGCAUACACAAAUCACAGUUGUAUUUCAUGACUAUUUAUAGAACAUUAGAUAUCACGCCAAUAGGUUAAUAUACAAUGAAUAAUUAUUUGUCUUCGCAUGUUAAUCACAUUAAUCAACGUUAAUUAAUCAAGAGGCUAACUUGGGAUUCUUAUGUGCUACUUGCUGUCCAAAGUGUUACGCGCUUCGAGUCCUAGGCAACAUAAUUUUAUUUUUGUCUAGAACACAAAUCCAAAAUAGUAAAGUCCAAUGCCUCUUGGACGAUAGGUGGGACGAUAAGUAUUACUAAGAGACGUUAGUUUUAUCCUUGUUAUAGAACACCCUUAGACCUGAUAUCCAGCCUAGGUGGGGUGGGACAGGUAGUCAUUUGGAAGUGAUGAUCCCAACGAAAAUUGACGGUAAGACUAAUGACAUUGUUACUUGUCUAAGAGUUCGGCCGAUGGGUCGAAUGAUGAUUAAAAAAGUUGGGGUUUUGAUCUGAAUGAGACCAAAAUAUUUCUUUGUUUGACUUGGAAGAAUUCUUUUUAUUCUUUUAUUUACCUUACAUGUUCAUUUAUUUGGGGUAGUUAAUUUAUUAUAAAACAGCCCCCUUUGUUGUAAAUUGUGUUAUUUCUUUCUCUUCGCUUGUCUGAUUUACAUAUAUUUAUUAAUUCUAUCACUUAGAUGAUUAAUAGACAUAAUUAAGUGAAAUUUUUGUUAAUUACUUUAUCACCUUGAUAAAUAUUAAAUUAAUAAUAAAAUAAGAGACCUUUAUUUGAUCACAUAGAAUCCCCACGUAAAGUAUGAAUUCGGCUGGGAACCACCUUUGUGGAUCUCGAAAGGUGCCUAACACCUUCCUUUUGAGGUAAUUUGAACCCUUAUCCGAACUCUGGUGAACUAAGACUAAAUAACAAAAUACGUUCGUAGUAGCGUAGAUCGGUGCCCUAACACACCUUAAUAUGUUAGGCGGCGACUCUUCACACUCUACCCUUCAAACGAUCCUAAAAAGAGUGGUCAUGCUGAAUCCCACUUUUUGCGAGGAAAUUGGGACGUGACAGAAUGGUGACUCCGCUGGGGAUCUUAGGUUCUAACCAUUAUGAAUUUGUGUUUUAUGCGGGAUUCUCUCUAUGUGUUUUUAUGUUUAUAUAAUAAAGUUUACUUUUGACAUGUUUUAUUUUCUAUAUGUUCUUCUUUUAUUGCUUAUUCACAUCAUGAUUUAUUUGUCUCUUUUUUUUUUUUCUCUUUUUAUGUGUUAUUCAUGAUUCUCUAUGCCUACUUUUGCUCUUUUUUUUUUUCAGUGAUUAAUUGACACAUGUUAUUCCCUUCUCCUUUCACCUUUUUUUGUGUUAUUCCUGUUUCUCCAUGUCUACUUUUGCUUUAUUGGUGAUUAAUUCAUGCAUGUUAGUCCCUUCUCCUUUUUCCUAUUUUUUUUUACGUGUUAUUCAUGUUUCUCUAUGCCUACUUUUUCUUUUGGUUAUGUGCUUCAAUAUUUAUUUUCAUAUUGCUAAAGAAUGCUAUUGUAUGUUGUUACGUGCUAUAUGUUACUGCUUUAUAUAACUGGCAUUCCGCUCAUAAUUUCCUCCAUUUGGAAACCUUUUUUUUCUUUUACGAAUGGUUACGUGGUUGUAUGGACAUUCUUUCCUAAAACACCCUUCGGGAAAUGCCUUGUGGAUCGGUCGAUCAGUGGUGCAUUGACAGCCACAAGCUUUCCCACUCUUGAGUUAUCCACUCGAGGGAACCAUGUCAUAAACCCACUCUUCUUCUUUAGAUCCUAGCUACAUAUUUCUUUUACUAAGGAAUAUGCGUCCCAUUCUAUGUAGGAUGCCUUGGCAUUCUUGACACGUUGAAUGUUAGUAUCAUUCAAAGUCCAAAGAGGUUACGACCUCAAAGGGGACUUACAAUUAUUUGCUAUGUGUUGCAUUUCUAUGUAUGUCUUAUCUAUCUUUUUGUUUCCGUUCUUACCUUAGUCAUUCCUUAC